AUAAUAAUUAGUUUUUUAAUUGGAAACUGGAAUGAAUGAUUGGAUAAGAUAUAAGCUUUUUUUUUUAAAAUUUCAUAGAACUUAAAUUUUUAGUUAAAAAGCUAAAAUUAUUUAAAAAGACGAGAAGACCCUAUAGAUUUUUAUUUAAUUAAAAUUAUUAAUUUAAUUUUAAUUAAAUUUUAUUGGGGGGAUAAAAAAAUUUAAAAAACUUUUUAAGUUAUUGACAAAUAAUAUGUGAAACUUUAAAAUAUAAACUAUUUAAAUUAUUAUAAAUAAAGAUUAAAAUACCUUAGGGAUAACAGCGUAAUUUUAAUUUUAAGAUCUCAUUUAAAUUAAAGAUUGC
rnacentral:rRNA from 1 species